UCUAAUAUGGCAGAUAAGUGCAGUAGAUUUAAGCUCUACAUAUAAAGGAUAUACUUUUAUUAGAA
rnacentral:tRNA from 1 species